rnacentral:rRNA from 1 species
GCUGAAAGAUGGCCUCGCGUCUGAUUAGCUAGUUGGCGGGGUAACGGCCCACCAAGGCGACGAUCAGUAGCCGGUCUGAGAGGAUGAACGGCCACAUUGGGACUGAGAUACGGCCCAGACUCCUACGGGAGGCAGCAGUGGGGAAUAUUGGGCAAUGGGCGAAAGCCUGACCCAGCAACGCCGCGUGAAGGAAGAAGGCCCUCGGGUUGUAAACUUCUUUUACCAGGGACGAAGGACGUGACGGUACCUGGAGAAAAAGCAACGGCUAACUACGUGCCAGCAGCCGCGGUAAUACGUAGGUUGCAAGCGUUGUCCGGAUUUACUGGGUGUAAAGGGCGUGUGGGCGGAGAUGCAAGUUGGGAGUGAAAUCCAUGGGCUCAACCCAUGAACUGCUCUCAAAACUGUAUCCCUUGAGUAUCGGAGAGGCAAGCGGAAUUCCUAGUGUAGCGGUGAAAUGCGUAGAUAUUAGGAGGAACACCAGUGGCGAAGGCGGCUUGCUGGACGACAACUGACGCUGAGGCGCGAAAGCGUGGGGAGCAAACAGGAUUAGAUACCCUGGUAGUCCACGCUGUAAACGAUGAAUACUAGGUGUGGGGGGACUGACCCCCUCCGUGCCGCAGUUAACACAAUAAGUAUUCCACCUGGGGAGUACGACCGCAAGGUUGAAACUCAAAGGAAUUGACGGGGGCCCGCACA